rnacentral:rRNA from 1 species
CUCAUAGCGUAUAUUUAAGUUGUUGCAGUUAAAAAGCUCGUAGUUGGAUUUCGGGCCCAGGCGGCCGGUCCGCCGUUUCGGUGUGCACUGGUCGGCUCGGUCUUUCUGCCGGGGACGCGCUCCGUCUUGACUGCCGGACGCGGAGUCGGCGACGUUACUUUGAAAAAAUUAGAGUGUUCAAAGCAGGCUUACGCUCUGAAUACUAUAGCAUGGAAUAACACGAUAGGACUCCGAGCCUAUUUUGUUGGUCUUCGGGACCGGAGUAAUGAUUAAGAGGGACAGUUGGGGGCAUUCGUAUUACGGUGUCAGAGGUGAAAUUCUUGGAUUUCCGUAAGACGAACUUCUGCGAAAGCAUUUGCCAAGGAUGUUUUCAUUAAUCAAGAACGAAAGUUGGGGGCUCGAAGAUGAUCAGAUACCGUCGUAGUCUCAACCAUAAACGAUGCCGACUAGGGAUUGGAGGAUGUUAAUUCGAUGACUUCUCCAGCACCUUAAGAGAAAUCAAAGUUUUUGGGUUCCGGGGGGAGUAUGGUCGCAAGGCUGAAACUUAAAGGAAUUGACGGAAGGGCACCACCAGGCGUGGAGCCUGCGGCUUAAUUUGACUCAACACGGGGAAACUUACCAGGUCCAGACAUAGUAAGGAU